rnacentral:misc_RNA from 2 species
ACACCUCAACUCUCAUGGCUUGCCACGAUGAGCUUGGACUUGGGGGGUUUUGCUGGCCUACAGUCAGCUCCCCUCAAAUGCAUUAGCUUUCCAGCAUUUGGUGGCAUCACAGGUGUGAUAAACAUCUACACGUGUGGUUCCCCACCAUGUAACCUUCAGUGAUGGAGGUUCACUGGAGCUCACAAAUGUCUUUCCUCAGUGAAGACAGUUCUUUGAUU